rfam:Canis lupus familiaris chromosome X, whole genome shotgun sequence.
GCCUGGGUGGCUCAGUGGUUGAGCAUCUGUCUUUGGCUCAGGUUGUGAUCCCCGGGUG